GCCAGGAUAGCUCAGCUGGUAGAGCAGUCCCUUCGUAAGGGAAAGGUCGCGGGUUCAAGUCCCGCUCCUGGCU
rnacentral:tRNA from 1 species